AUUGAACGCUGGCGGCAGGCCUAACACAUGCAAGUCGAACGAGUGGCGGACGGGUGAGUAAUGUCUGGGAAACUGCCUGAUGGAGGGGGAUAACUACUGGAAACGGUAGCUAAUACCGCAUACCAUCAGAUGUGCCCAGAUGGGAUUAGCUAGUUGGUGGGGUAACGGCUCACCAAGGCGACGAUCCCUAGCUGGUCUGAGAGGAUGACGAGCGACACUGGAACGGGGACACGGUACAGGCUCUUACGGAAGGCAGCAGUGGGGAAUAUUGCACAAUGGGCGCAAGCCUGAUGCAGGCAUGCGGGGUGUAUGAAGAAGGCCUUCGGGUUGUAAAGUACUUUCAGCGGGGAGGCGUUACCCGCAGAAGAAGCGCCGGCUAACUCCGUGCCAGCAGCCGCGGUAAUAC
rnacentral:rRNA from 1 species